GGGGGUCUCAGGGGGUCUCUGAGGGGUUUCAGAGGAGUCUCAGUGGUUUUUGAGGGGUCUCUGAGGGGUCUCAGGGAUCUCUGAGAGGUUUCUGAGGUGUCUCACGGGUUUCUGAGGGGUCUCAGGGGUUUCUGAGGUGUCUCUGAGGGGUCUCUGAGGGUUUUCUGGGGGGUCUCAGGGGUCUCUGAGGGGUCUCAGGGUUUUUUGAGGGGUCUCAUUGGUUUCUGAGGGGUCUCAUCCGUGCUCUCUCCCUUCCUCCUGGAGCCCUGGACCGGAUGAAGACGUUGGACAGGGACGCCUCCAUCCGCUGCCUGGCGGCUCAGACCGCUUUGCUUCUCGACUCCCUGAGGCAGCGGCGGCGGCCACCGCGCGGGUUCCUGCGCGGGCUGUGCCGCUGGUGCCGCUGAGCCGCGACGGGGGACGCCGACACCCGCCGGAUCCUCCUCGGCUGUGGAAAGCCCGCCCUCCUUUCCCGAGGCCUCCUCCUCAGGCCUUCUCCUCGUGCCUCCCCCAGACUCAAAAUGAAAGGUGGAGAGACGCCCCCCAGGCCUGGGGAAGCUGCUGGGAUUGUUUUUCACGCCAUUUUAGAAGGAAAAUGCAGUUUUAUGGCUCUGGAUGUGCCCGCUUGGAGCUCAAGAAAGAAUUUAAAAUAUUGAGGGCCAGAGAGGAGAAUCCCGGGUGCUCAAACUGUCUAAAACGCUUGGAGAUGAUUCAGUCUCAGAAUUUGAAAUGUUGAGGGCCAGAGAGGAGAAUCCUGAGGGCUCAAAACGCUUGGAGAUGAUUCGGUGUGGCUUUUAGUACCAACUACAGCUCUAAAAAGUUCAUUCCCUUAUGUAUAUAUUUUACAUAUGUAAAUAUA